rnacentral:rRNA from 1 species
UACUCAGUUCGGAUUGAAGGCUGAAAUUCGCCUUCAUGAAGCUGGAAUUGCUAGUAAUGGCAGGUCAGCAUACUGCCGUGAAUACGUUCCCGGGCCUUGUACACACCGCCCGUCACACCAUGAGAGUUGGGAAUACCCGAAGCCUGUGAGCUAACUGUAAGGAGGCAGCAGUCGAAGGUGGGGUUGAUGAUUGGGGUGAAGUCGUAACAAGGUAUC